UUCAACUUCCUUGUCCAUUCGUCAGCCGCUGCAGAAAUAAGACACCAGACGUCCAAACAACAAAAAGAAAAAAUAAACGACACCAGACUCUGAGCCAUCACACCAAAAUCGCGGCCACCCUCAGCCGCCAGCUCAAUCUUGUAUUGCUCUCUGUCUCUGUCUGUCUCUCAGCAAAUCGCAAUGGCUCGUAACGAAGAGAAAGCGCAGUCGAUGCUCAAUCGAUUCAUCACACUCAAAGCCGAAGAGAAGAAGAAGCCAAAAGAGCGACGUCCAUACCUGGCCUCCGAAUGCCGGGACCUUGCUGAGGCCUCCAAAUGGCGGCAGCAAAUCAUGGGAGAGAUUGGCCGAAAAGUCGCCGAGAUCCAAAACGAAGGGCUCGGCGAGCACCGUCUCCGCGACCUCAACGAUGAGAUCAACAAGCUCAUACGGGAGAAGGUUCACUGGGAACGACGAAUUGUUGAGCUUGGAGGCCCUAACUACGCGAAACACGCCCCUAAGAUGACAGACCUCGAUGGCAACAUCAUCGACGUCCCAAACCCUAGCGGCCGAGGCCCUGGGUAUCGGUAUUUCGGCGCCGCGAAGAAGUUGCCGGGAGUCAGAGAGCUUUUUGAGAAGCCACCGGAGCUGAGAAAGCGGAGGACGAGGUACGAUAUAUACAAAAGGAUUGAUGCGAGCUAUUAUGGGUAUAGGGACGAUGAGGAUGGGGUUCUAGAGAAGGUUGAGGCUCCGGCGGAGGAGAAAAUGAGAGCGGAGGCCGUGGCGGAGUGGAAACGGAUGGAGGAGAUAAGGAAAGAGGCAAGGAGGGCGGUGAAGAGUGGGGAGGUGGUGUCGGUGGCGAAGGCGAAGGAGGUUUUGUUUGAAGAGGAAGAAGAGGUGGUUGAGGAGGAGAGGCAGAGAGAAAGGGAAUUACAAGAGAGGAGUGAGAGGGAGAAAGAGUUUGUGGUGCACGUGCCGUUGCCGGACGAUAAGGAGAUUGAGAAGAUGGUGCUGGAGAAGAAGAAGAAGGAGCUGCUGAGCAAGUAUACUAGUGAUGGAUUGUUGGAGGAGCAGACCGAGGCUAAGCAGAUGCUUAACAUUCAGCGCUAGAAUGCAGACACCAAGAAAGAGAAAGAGUAUGUUACUGUGUUUAAUUUGACUCAUUGACUGAUAAGAAGUUGUUUGUUCUUAUCAAAUUGAUGUUUAAGAUGGAUUUUUGAUGUAUUAAUGUUCUGGCAUAGGUUGAAUUCUCUUUGGUUAUUGGUAGGCUUUGUUAAGUAAGUGUUUGUAAGGUAUUUAGAUGGUGGAUUGAGUAAUAGUUGUCCUU